rnacentral:rRNA from 1 species
CUGCUGCCUCCCGUAGGAGUUUGGGCCGUGUCUCAGUCCCAAUGUGGCCGGUCACCCUCUCAGGUCGGCUACUGAUCGUCGCCUUGGUGGGCUGUUAUCUCACCAACUAGCUAAUCAGAUGCGGGCCCAUCCUGCACCGAAUAAAUCCUUUCUUUCCCAGAAGAUGCCUCCCAGGAACCGUAUGCGGUAUUAGUCAUCGUUUCCAAUGAUUAUUCCCCAGUGCAGGGCAGGUUGCCCACACGUUACU